UACGUAGGGGUCGAGCGUUGUCCGGAUUUAUUGGGCGUAAAGGGUGGGCAGGUGGCCGGUGAUGUGCCGUGUGAAAGCGCCGUAGUUAUGACGGCGAGGUCGCGGUAGACACAUCGGCUCGAGCACAGUAGAGGCAGGUGGAAUUCCCGGUGUAGCGGUGGAAUGCGUAGAGAUCGGGAAGAACAUCAGUGGCGAAGGCGGCCUGCUGGGCUGUUGCUGACGCUGAGGCGCGAAAGCGUGGGGAGCAAACAGG
rnacentral:rRNA from 1 species